rnacentral:rRNA from 1 species
AAACGAUGAGCACUAGGUGUCGGGACAUGAGUCUCGGUGCCGCAGUUAACGCAAUAAGUGCUCCGCCUGGGGAGUACGCACGCAAGUGUAAAACUCAAAGGAAUUGACGGGGACCCGCACAAGCAGCGGAGCAUGUGGUUUAAUUCGAAGCAACGCGAAGAACCUUACCAAGACUUGACAUCCCUCUGACGUACCCUUAAUCGGGUAUUUCUUCGGACAGAGGAGACAGGUGGUGCAUGGCUGUCGUCAG